UCCCUGGUGGCUCAGAGGUUAAAGCGUCUGCCUCCAAUGCAGGAGACCUGGGUUUAAUCCCUGGGUUGGGAA
rnacentral:tRNA from 1 species